rnacentral:rRNA from 1 species
GAUGAACGCUGGCGGCGUGCUUAACACAUGCAAGUCGAGCGAAGCAUUUGCAGUUGAUUUCUUCGGAAUGAUUCUGUUUUAUGACUGAGCGGCGGACGGGUGAGGUACGCGUGGGGAACCUGCCUCAUACAGGGGGAUAACAGUUAGAAAUGACUGCUAAUACCGCAUAAGCGCACGGAACCGCAUGGUUCUGUGUGAAAAACUCCGGUGGUAUGAGAUGGACCCGCGUCUGAUUAGCUAGUUGGUAAGGUAACGGCUUACCAAGGCGACGAUCAGUAGCCGACCUGAGAGGGUGACCGGCCACAUUGGGACUGAGACACGGCCCAA